CUUGCCAUCAGAUGUGCCCAGAUGGGAUUAGCUAGUAGGUGGGGUAACGGCUCACCUAGGCGACGAUCCCUAGCUGGUCUGAGAGGAUGACCAGCCACACUGGAACUGAGACACGGUCCAGACUCCUACGGGAGGCAGCAGUGGGGAAUAUUGCACAAUGGGCGCAAGCCUGAUGCAGCCAUGCCGCGUGUAUGAAGAAGGCCUUCGGGUUGUAAAGUACUUUCAGCGGGGAGGAAGGUGUUGUGGUUAAUAACCACAGCAAUUGACGUUACCCGCAGAAGAAGCACCGGCUAACUCCGUGCCAGCAGCCGCGGUAAUACGGAGGGUGCAAGCGUUAAUCGGAAUUACUGGGCGUAAAGCGCACGCAGGCGGUCUGUCAAGUCGGAUGUGAAAUCCCCGGGCUCAACCUGGGAACUGCAUUCGAAACUGGCAGGCUAGAGUCUUGUAGAGGGGGGUAGAAUUCCAGGUGUAGCGGUGAAAUGCGUAGAGAUCUGGAGGAAUACCGGUGGCGAAGGCGGCCCCCUGGACAAAGACUGACGCUCAGGUGCGAAAGCGUGGGGAGCAAACAGGAUUAGAU
rnacentral:rRNA from 1 species